AUAGCGUAUAUUAAAGUUGUUGCAGUUAAAAAGCUCGUAGUUGGAUUUCUGGGAGGGUGCCAAUGUCCGCUCGUUCGCGUGUGCAGCGGCGCCCUUCCAUCCUUCUGUUAACGUUUCUUGGUAUUCAUUUACUGGUUGCGGGCUCAGAUAUUUUACCUUGAGAAAAUUAGAGUGUUUAAGGCAGGCUUGUGCCCGAAUACAUUAGCAUGGAAUAAUAGAAUAGGACUUUGGUCUCCUUUGUUGGUUUGAGGGACUAGAGUAAUGAUUAAUAGGGACAGUUGGGGGCAUUAGUAUUUAAUUGUCAGAGGUGAAAUUCUCGGAUUUGUUAAAGACUAACUUAUG
rnacentral:rRNA from 1 species